AAAGGAGGUGUCUGGUGCCAGCAGUGAAAGGCCAGAGAGAAGGUGGCAUGUGGAAACCUCAGAGCACCACAUUCAAGAUGCCCAAAAAGGGUAUCCAGGGCCCUGGUGGAAGCACCUCACCUGCUGCUUGAAGUAGCGCCGUUCCUCCUCAUCUAUCAGCACCAGGUUGAGAGCUGGUCCAAAAAUAGAAUAUCAGGAAGAGAAAAACUGGGCCCCAACUCUUCAAGGGGCUGGAGCAAUGACACCUGAAUCUGCUGAGAAGUGUCCCCAGGGUUGUGGGCUGCUUAAUCUGUGGCACACCUCCUUCCACAUGAAAUGGACUGUGGGAAUACUCUGGAUGAACUCUUGGAAGGAAUGAAAUAAAAUCUUGGAAAGACCAAGCAAGCACUUCAAAAUGAGAAGACACAUUGAUUGCUACAGUCAAUGAAGAAUACAAGUGAUUGCUACUCCCAAAUAAUCACAGAUUCCCAAAUAAAGAAGAAAUUCAAUUCCACUAAUCCUAGAUGUAAUUAUCUCCAUGGAGGUUGGGGGAGGACCAUUUCUAGCUGGUUCCCAGUGCUAUCUGCAGCACCUGGUAGUAUGAGUUAGUGUGGCCUAUAGUCCUCUUUCAUACUUGGUGAAUGGAUUCAGAGAAUAAAUCGUUUUUGUCAGAGA